UGCAAAUGUAUGGCCUACUAAAAUGCUUUCUUGGUUAUAAAAUAAUUGUUGCAGCUUUGUUGAACAGUUGAACCCCUCUUACCAGCUAGUGUCUGCAGGCUUAUAUAUACUAGUAAAAAUAGAAAGAAAACUAUUUCUGCACUCGGUUGAUGUAGUGAUACGUCACACCAAAAAAGAAGGAAUUAGACAUUGAAAAUAAAGAUGAGGAAGACUCAGAUGCAAUGACGUGCGAUGAGAAGCACCAUCUCUUGUUAGACAUCGAUAAAUUACCAGGUGAUAAUGAUGAUGUAGUGAUGUCACCCUUUGGGUUCUUUGGGUUAGGAUUGGGGUCAAGGUUACCUUCGAAGCUCAGGAUGUUACCAAAGUCGCAAAGUCGGCGAAAGCACAACAAAAAUUGUAUUGUGUUCACGCCUGCACCACACCUACCUAUCUUUGCAUGAUCUUUCCGGUUCUUAAGCCUGUUUUAAAUGUUGCAUUUUACAUGCACCGAAUGCAUUCAAAACAAUGAAUAAUUUUUUUUUUAAAUUUUUUUCCCCUACUAGAAACCCUAACAGGCUUUUUAAUUUAGUCCCCUAGUUAUAAUGAGGCAUUUCAGCUGAUUAUCUAUUGUUUUGAAUGCAUUCGGCACAUGUAAAAUGCGACGUUUAAAACAGGCCUUAGUCGCAAUUACUAUGCAAAUAUAAAAAAAUAAGUUGGCAUUAACACAUUGACAGUGCAAAUGUUUGAAGCAUCGACACACUUCAAUGACAUCAAUAAUACAACAAUUGAACUCAGAAUAUGCUCCCCCAGGAAACAUAAUAUUUAUCCUAAAUGCAGGGGAGGCUUUAGGGUAAUUGGUUCCAGUUGGAGCGAGCCUAGGGUGGCGUGUAGGGCUUAUAUUCCAAGGUUUAUUUACAGUAGAGGUUCGAAAAUUGCAAAUAAAACUUUGGGGGCAGAAAUACAAGUGUACAGGUGCACUUCAAUAUUGAACUUGAAAAUAUUUAAAAUAUUACUUUCUGCAUGUAAUGGCUGCUGACAUGAGCCAACAUUCUUUUAAUAGUUGAUUGUAAAUUGUAAAAUACUCAAAAUCAGCUUAUUGCCCAAAAAUGUGUGCUAUUUUAGUAUGCAUUUCCAUCCACAGUAAACCAAUAUGAUCUCCGUAAUACUCUUAAUUAAUAAUUUACACAAAAUAUCAUGCAUAUAUCAAUAAAUGAAAAAUGACCUAAAUGAUAAUCACAGAUCGCCUAAUAAAAUAAUAUAAAAUAUGCUUCCUGAAGGGACAUUUUUGCAGCGGGAAUUUCCGCACUUUUUGCAGUAAAACGGAGAUAUUUUAAUAACAUUUGAUUUGAUGUAAUCCUCUCCGAAAUGUUAAGUACCUUUCAGGAUAAUGUAAAUACGCGCUUUGAGAAAUUCACGAUGCGACCGCGAUAAAAAACAAAAAGUUUUUAGCAAAAAGUUGCAAAUUUUCCUACAAAAAGUAUCAUUUUCACUUAAUUGCUACAUUGGGUGUAGCA
rnacentral:lncRNA from 1 species